ACUUAAAUUGAAGAGUUUGAUCAUGGCUCAGAUUGAACGCUGGCGGCAGGCCUAACACAUGCAAGUCGAGCGGUAGCACAGAGAGCUUGCUCUCGGGUGACGAGCGGCGGA
rnacentral:rRNA from 2 species